UACGAAGGGGGCUAGCGUUGCUCGGAAUCACUGGGCGUAAAGCGCACGUAGGCGGACUCUUAAGUCGGUGGUGAAAUCCUGGAGCUCAACUCCAGAACUGCCUUCGAUACUGAGAGUCUCGAGUCCGAGAGAGGUGAGUGGAACUGCGAGUGUAGAGGUGAAAUUCGUAGAUAUUCGCAAGAACACCGGUGGCGAAGGCGGGUCUCUGGGCCGAUACUGACGCUGAGGAGCGAAAGCGUGGGGAGCGAACAGG
rnacentral:rRNA from 1 species